rnacentral:rRNA from 1 species
UACGUAGGGUGCGAGCGUUGUCCGGAAUUACUGGGCGUAAAGAGCUCGUAGGUGGUUUGUCGCGUUGUUCGUGAAAUCUCACGGCUUAACUGUGAGCGUGCGGGCGAUACGGGCAGACUAGAGUACUGCAGGGGAGACUGGAAUUCCUGGUGUAGCGGUGGAAUGCGCAGAUAUCAGGAGGAACACCGGUGGCGAAGGCGGGUCUCUGGGCCGAUACUGACGCUGAGGAGCGAAAGCGUGGGGGAGCGAACAGG